rnacentral:rRNA from 1 species
CAGCAGCCGCGGUAAUACGAAGGGUGCGAGCGUUAAUCGGAAUUAUUGGGCGUAAAGCGUGCGUAGGCGGUGAGUUAAGUCUGCUGUGAAAUCCCCGGGCUCAACCUGGGAAUGGCAGUGGAUACUGGCUCGCUAGAGUGUGUCAGAGGAUGGUGGAAUUCCCGGUGUAGCGGUGAAAUGCGUAGAGAUCGGGAGGAACAUCAGUGGUGAAGGCGGCCAUCUGGGACAACACUGACGCUGAGGCACGAAAGCGUGGGGAGCAAACAGGAUUAGAUACCCCAGUAGUCCCUGUCUCUUAUAC